rnacentral:rRNA from 1 species
ACGUGAUCUGAGUUCAGACCGGAGCAAUCCAGGUCAGUUUCUAUCUAUAAAGAGCUUCUUCUAGUACGAAAGGACCGAAUAAGCAUGGCCUAUACUUUAAGCAAGCCAUCAUAAUUAAUUUAUGACUUAGACUCAAUAAACAAAUUAUCUUCAACCAACCUCAAAACAAGAGG